AGAGUUUGAUCCUGGCUCAGGACGAACGCUGGCGGCGUGCUUAACACAUGCAAGUCGAACGAGAAUCUGUGGAAAGAGGAUUCGUCCAAUUGAAGCAGAGGACAGUGGCGGACGGGUGAGUAACGCGUGAGGAACCUGCCUUUCAGAGGGGGACAACAGUUGGAAACGACUGCUAAUACCGCAUGACACAUAGAGAUCGCAUGGUUUUUAUGUCAAAGAUUUAUCGCUGAAAGAUGGCCUCGCGUCUGAUUAGCUAGUUGGUGAGGUAACGGCCCACCAAGGCGACGAUCAGUAGCCGGACUGAGAGGUUGAACGGCCACAUUGGGACUGAGACACGGCCCAGACUCCUACGGGAGGCAGCAGUGGGGAAUAUUGCACAAUGGGGGAAACCCUGAUGCAGCGACGCCGCGUGGAGGAAGAAGGUCUUCGGAUUGUAAACUCCUGUUGUUGAGGAAGAUAAUGACGGUACUCAACAAGGAAGUGACGGCUAACUACGUGCCAGCAGCCGCGGUAAAACGUAGGUCACAAGCGUUGUCCGGAAUUACUGGGUGUAAAGGGAGCGCAGGCGGGAAGACAAGUUGGAAGUGAAAUCCAUGGGCUCAACCCAUGAACUGCUUUCAAAACUGUUUUUCUUGAGUAGUGCAGAGGUAGGCGGAAUUCCCGGUGUAGCGGUGGAAUGCGUAGAUAUCGGGAGGAACACCAGUGGCGAAGGCGGCCUACUGGGCACCAACUGACGCUGAGGCUCGAAAGCGUGGGUAGCAAACAGGAUUAGAUACCCUGGUAGUCCAUGCCGUAAACGAUGAUUACUAGGUGUUGGAGGAUUGACCCCUUCAGUGCCGCAGUUAACACAAUAAGUAAUCCACCUGGGGAGUACGACCGCAAGGUUGAAACUCAAAGGAAUUGACGGGGGCCCGCACAAGCAGUGGAGUAUGUGGUUUAAUUCGAAGCAACGCGAAGAACCUUACCAGGUCUUGACAUCCGAUGCAUAGUGCAGAGAUGCAUGAAGUCCUU
rnacentral:rRNA from 1 species